UACGGGGGGAGCAAGCGUUGUUCGGAUUUACUGGGCGUAAAGGGCGCGUAGGCGGCCACCGCAAGUCGACUGUGAAAUCUCCGGGCUUAACUCGGAAAGGUCAGCCGAUACUGCGGGGCUAGAGUGCAGAAGGGGCAACUGGAAUUCUCGGUGUAGCGGUGAAAUGCGUAGAUAUCAGGAAGAACACCGGUGGCGAAAGCGCUCUGCUAGGCCGCAACUGACACUGAGGGACGAAAGCUAGGGGAGCGAAUGGG
rnacentral:rRNA from 1 species